rnacentral:rRNA from 1 species
AGAGUUUGAUCAUGGCUCAGGACGAACGCUGGCGGCGUGCUUAACACAUGCAAGUCGAGCGGAAAGGCCCUUCGGGGUACUCGAGCGGCGAACGGGUGAGUAACACGUGAGUAACCUGCCCCUGACUCUGGGAUAAGCCCGGGAAACUGGGUCUAAUACCGGAUACGACACCUCCUGGCAUCGGGUGGGUGUGGAAAGUUUUUCGGUUGGGGAUGGACUCGCGGCCUAUCAGCUUGUUGGUGGGGUAAUGGCCUACCAAGGCGACGACGGGUAGCCGGCCUGAGAGGGCGACCGGCCACACUGGGACUGAGACACGGCCCAGACUCCUACGGGAGGCAGCAGUGGGGAAUAUUGCGCAAUGGGCGAAAGCCUGACGCAGCGACGCCGCGUGGGGGAUGACGGCCUUCGGGUUGUAAACCUCUUUCAGCAGGGACGAAGUUGACGUGUACCUGCAGAAGAAGCGCCGGCUAACUACGUGCCAGCAGCCGCGGUAAUACGUA